rnacentral:lncRNA from 1 species
CUCGCCUGGGCCGCGGCCUGAGCAGAAGCGCUAGGAGGUAGAACAGCGUCCAGCGGGGAGAGGAGCUAGAGUCGGCAUCGGGAAGCCCACCCUGGAGCCUGCUUAGCUUGACGAGCCCUCAACCGGGGCGCCCUGCUCUGCGAAGAGUAACCCUGCAUCCUCAGAACAACCGUGAUUGUCUUCAUUCCUACAUAUGAGGAACGGAGGCGCGGAGCCCCACGGCAGCCGGGGAUCCAAAGACAGCCUCCCUCCAGUUCCAUCUGCCGGCUCUUGGAAGGCCUGGAUCCCUGUCCUUCAGGGCCCAGCCCAAAUGCCGCCUCGUCCAUCUGCAUUUUACGGCCAGGUGCCCCGCUGCGGGCACGGCUUCUUGUAAAAUGCUCAGCUCAGCAGUGGGCGAGGCAGGGUCCCUGCCCCAUGGGAUGGAGGGCGGAGAUCAGGACCCACAAGAGCCCAAAGAAGACCAUUUUGGUCGGUGAAGACCAAAGAAAUUCAAGCAGGAGGAUGUGACAGGAGCUUUUGGGAAAGCCUCUGAGGAGGUGACAGCCAUGCAACCGUGUUCGGGGAAGUGUGCCGCAGGCAGAGGGGAAAUGAGUGCAAAAGCCCUGAAGCUGGAGUUCGGUGUCUGGAUAACAGGAAAGGCCUGCAUAGCUGAUGUGUGCCAGAGGGGAGAAAGAUCUGUGACACAGGGGGGCCGCCAUGUUUAAUUUGGAGUUUUGUGUGGAAGGGGGUCAUUCAUUGAGUCUGAAUUGGGAGUUCCGAGGUCUCAUUUAUAUUUUAGAAAGUUCUCUCCUGCUACUAUGCAGAGAUUGGGCUGUAGGAGAGACAAGAGGGGAAGUGGGGACUCUAGCUACAGUAGCUCUUCCAGGGGUCUGGGUGACGUAGAUUUACAAACCAGAGUAUUAGCUCAGGCUGCCAUGACAAAAUACCCCAGACCAGGCAGCUUAGACAACAGGAAUUUAUUUUCUCACAGUUUUAGAGGCUGCAAAUCUAAGGUCUGGGUGCCGGCAGGGCUGGUUUCUGGUGAGGCCUCUCUCCCUGGCUUGCAAACAGCUGCCUUCUCACUGUGUCCUCCUAUGACCUUUUCUCUGUGAGCAGGAAUCCCUGGUGUGUCUUCCUUUUUCUUACAAGAACAACAAUUUUACUAGAUUAGGGCCCCACCCUAUGACUUCAUUUAACCCCAGUGACUACCUAAAAGGCCGUAUUCAAAUAGUCGUAUUAGGCCAGGCGCAGUGGCUCACGCCUGUAAUUCUAGCACUUUGGGAAGCCGAGGCAGAUGGAUUGCCUGAGCUCAGGAGUUGGAGACCAGCCUGGGCAACACAAUGAGACCCCGUCUUUACUAAAAUACAAAAAAUUAGCCGGGCAUGGCGACGUGCACAUGUAAUCCCAGCUACUCGGGAGGCUGAGGCAGGAGAAUCGCUUGAACCUGGGAGGCAGAGGUUGCAGUGAGCUGAGAUCGCGCCAUUGCACUCCAUAUUGGGCGAGAGAGAGAGUCUGUACCAAAAAAAAAAAAAAAAGUAUAAGGGUCCUAUGACUUCAUUUAACCCUAAUGACUGCCUAAUAUGCCUAAUAGCCAUAUUAGGGUUAGAGCUUCAACAUACGGACUCCGGGGUGGGUAUGUGCGGAGCGGGGAGCGUUUCAGUCCGUAACACCAGGUAAGUGCUGCAACAGAUAUUGGAGAGCUGAUGGGCUGUGGUUUUAGGGAAGCUCCUCUAAGAAAGGGGUGGAUUAUACCGGGCGCACUGGCUCACAUCUAUAAUCCCAGCACUUUGGGAGGCCGAGGCAGGGGGAUCACGAGGUCAGAAGUUCAAGACCAGCUUGGCCAACAUGGUGAAACCCUGUCUCUACUAAAAAUACAAAAAUUAGCCAAGCAUGGAGGCAGGCGCCUGUAAUCCCAGCUCCUGGGGAGGCUGAGGCAGGAGAAUCACUUGAACCUGGGAGGUGGAGGUUGUGGUGAGUCGAGAUCGCGCCACUGUACUCCAGCCUGGGCGACACAGCGAGACUCCGUCUCAAAACAAAAUAAGAAAAAGAAAGGGGUGGAUUAUUCUCGUGACCAGAGGCUGCUCAUCAUUCAGGCCUCAACUACAGUAGCCUCUCUUGGAGAGGCCUUCACUGACAGCCCAUCUAAAAGUUGCUCACUAACACAGCGCCCUAUCUGAUCUUCCAAGCAGUCAUCAUGAUCUGAAAUGACCUCGUCUAGUCCUGUUGCCAGAAGGCUCAGGAGGUCUCUGGAUACUGGUGACACCCCAGCCCCAGCCAGUUUCCAGGUUCUUGACACCUUGGAGAGAAAGAAUUCAAGAAUGAGUUGAAUGAAGCAAAGGGCAAGAAGGUUUUUUUUUGUUGUUUGUUGUUUUUGUUUUUUUUGAGACAGGAUCUCAGUCUGUCACCCAGGCUGGAGUACAGAGGCGCAAUCAUGGCUCACUGCAGUCUUGAUCUCCCGGGCUCGGGUGAUUCCCGCCACCUCAGCUUCCUGAGCAGCUGGGACUAGUACCACACCGGCUAAGUUUUUGGGGUUUUUUUUGUUUUUGUAGAGACAGGGUUUUGCCAUGUUGCCCAGGCUGGUCCCAAACUCCUGGGCUCAAGCAGUCCUCCCACCUUGACCUCCCAAAGUGCUGGCAUUACAGUUGUAAGACACUGCACCGAGCUGCAAGAAGCUUUUAUUGCAAAGUGAACAUACACAUUUAAGAGAGAAGUGCAGGCAUGCCCGUGAGAAUGAGUCUUGCACAAUGGAGUUUGGGUUCCUAAUUUUAUGGGUGUUUCUUUUAGUUACAGGAUGGAAUUAUCGUUAGGCAUUCUGGAAAGGGAGGGGAUUUCAGGGACCUCCACCUCAAUUACUGUCUCCUUUCUUCCUUAUCUGGGUUUGCUGGAAGAAGCAUGGACAUGUCACCCUGGCCAGAGUUUUGGCCAUCUUCUCUCCCUUGGGUUUUCUGUUAUCCUAUGGUUUAUUUGCCUAGUUCCUGUUUCAGCUGUUUGGGUUUUUCCAUCCUCCUGUGACCACCCAGUGCUGUUCCUGUCUCAGGCAUUUGGGCGCUUGUUUGUGGUCGGCCUCCAACCCUACAGGAGAGCAGAGACUCUGCUUUUUUUGUUUUGUUUUGUUUUUGCUUUUUGAGACAGAGUUUUGCUCUUGUUGCCCAGGCUGGAGUGCAAUACAUAAUCUUGGCUCACUGCAACCUCUGCCUCCCAGGUUGAAGCGAUUCUCCUGCCUCAGCCUCCCAAGUAGCUUGGAUUACAGGCGUGCGCCGCCACCUCACCCGGCUGAUUUUUGUAUUUUUAGUAGAGACGGGGUUUCUCCAUGUUGGUCAGGCUGGUCUUGAACUCCUGACCUCAGGUGAUCCACCUACCUCGGCCUUCCAAAGUAUUGGGAUUACAGGCAUGAGCCACCACGCCUGGCCCAAACCAGUUUCUUUUGUCCUAUAUUCUCAGCCCCUUGAUAGUAGGUAGCACCCCUUAAAUACUUCUGGAGUGGAUGUCUCAAGCAAGCCUGAGGCUAAGAUCUGAUUAGAAGCGUGAGUAGGAGAUAUCCUAAUGCAGUGGUGCAUGUAGAAAAGAAAAAAGCCUGAUGCGGUGGCUCCCGCCUGUAAUCACAACACUGGGAGGCUGAGGUGGGCGGAUCGCUUGAGGCCAGGAGUUCAAGACCUGCCUGGCCAACAUGGCGGAACCACAUCUGUACUAAAAAUACAAAAAUUAGCCAGGCGUUGUGGCGGGUGCCUGUAAUCCCAGCUACUUGGAAGGCUGAGGCACUCAUGCCACUGCACUCCAGCCUGGGUGACAGAGUGAGAUUCCAUCUCAAAAAAAAAAAAAAAAAAAAAAGCUCUUGUGAUUGCAUUGGGUCCACCUGGAUAACCCAAGAUGGUCUCUUCAUCUCAAGAUUGUAACUUAAUCCCAAUAGCAAACUCCCUUUUGCUAGGUAACAGGUUACUGGGGUCAGCAUGUGGACAUCUUUGGGGAACCAUUAUUCUGCCUACCACAGAGAGCAAAGUAAAGGACAUCUGCGUAUGGGUGUGCCUGCUUCCUGGAAUCCCCAUCUCCAGCCCUUGUUGAGGUGAUGACACUCCCUAUUCCCCCACCCCUGGUAGCACUAGGUGCUGUAGUGCUGAGGAAAAUAGACUGACUCAUUCCUCAGGCUUCCACUCUAGUGGGAGAAAUUUUCAGUUUCUUCAUUGGAUAUUACACUGACAAGUACACUCUCUAAGGACCUAUUAUGUGCCCCAUGCCUGAGGGUACAAAGUUGGAUAAGACAGGAUUCCUGCCCUCACCCAGCCUACGGUCAGGUCAAGGAUUCAGGCUGUGUUCAUCAGUGAUUCUAGGGGUGGCCAGGGUAGGCGGAGGAGUCUGUGGAGCCACCUAGGAGUGACCUCUUCAUUCUCUCCAGAAAUACUUACAGAGCACUUACUCUGUGCCAGAUACUAUUCUAAAUUCAUGGGAUGUGUCAGUACAGAACAAAGAUCACUAUCCUAAUGAAGUUUACAUUCCAGGAGAGUGAAACAGACAACAAUAUAAGUAAAUCAUAGAGUAUGUUAGAGGAUGCUAAGUAUUAUGUUUAAAGAAAAAGCAGGGGUGGGCAGAAGCCGAGCACAGUGGCUCCACCUGUCAUCCCAGCACUUUGGGAGACUGAGGCAGAAGUUCGAAACUACUUUGGGCACCAUGGUGAGACAGUGUCGCUACAAACAAAAAAGGUGGGGAAAGGGGGAGACGUAGAAGCAACAGUACUUAAAGACACUGAUAUAGAUGCCAGAUUGAGAAGUAUACAGGGUGGUUAUCAAUGAAUGCUAUGAAGAUACCAUAAAGGAGAUGGUGACAGGCUAUUCUGGGCACACUGCUUGUGGGGUAGCCCUGCUCUGCAAGAAGCGGGGUUUUGUUUUUUUUGUGUGUGUUUUUUUGGGAAAAUUUAAUUUUGGGCCAGACAUGGUGGUUCAUGCCUAUAAUCCCAGCACUUUGGGACGCUAAGGUGGGCAGAUCACCUGAGGUCAGGAGUUUGAGACCAGCCUGGCCAACAUGGCAAAACCUCGUCUCUACUAAAAAUACAAAAAUUAGCCAGGCAUGGUGAUGCGCACCUGUAAUCCCAGCUACUCAGGGAGGCUGAGGCAGGAGAAUCACUUGAACCUGGGAGGCGGUGGUUGCAGUGAGCUGAGAUCACACCACUGCACUCCAGCCUGGGCGACAGAGUGAGACUCCCAUCUCAAAUAAUAAUUUUUUAAUUAAUUGAAGGAGAUGAUGGGGAAACCAAGUCAUACAAAAGGGGUUGCAGAGUCAUUCCUGUAGGGGUCCAGCCGGUAACCUAAUGAGCCUGCCCAGGGGUCAGCGUAGACUCAGGAACACCCUGUCCACUCUAGCUAAGGUAACAACUGCUUCCCAGGCCUCUCUGUUCUUGCCAUGUGGUCUACAAAUGCAGUUUUGCCAGAAACUCCAGGCGUAUUUCAAGAUUAGCUAGAAAUUGGGAUUUUAUUACAACAAAUACUCUACUUUGAAAAGUUAAUUAGUAGAAAAAAGAAACACUAUGUAAUACAAAUAAGCCAUGUCCAUAGGCAGCAGUGAGCCCAUGGGCCACCCACUUGCAACAUCUGUCGUAAAAACUAAAUAAGAUAUAGAUAGAUCUUAGGACAGACCUUCUAGAUUCAUUAAUGGGAGUUAUGAUGUAGUCACCAGAUACUGUAGUGAAUGCCAUAAAAAAUACAGAUGGGGUUAGGUGGGGUGGCUUAUACCUGUAAUCUCAGCACUUUGGGAGGCCGAGGGAGGUGAACCACUUGAGGUCAGGGGUUCGAGGCCAGCCUGGGAAACAUGGUGAAAUGCCGUCUCUACUAUAAAUACAAAAAUUAGCUGGACGUGGUAGUGGGCGCCUGUAAUUCCAGCUACUUAGGAGGCUGAGGUGAAAGAAUCGCUUGAACCCAGGAGGCAGAGGUUGUAGUGAGCCGAGAUCGACCCACUGCACUCCAGCCUGGGUGACAGAGCAAGACUUUGUCUCAAAAAAUAUACGUGUGUGUAUAUAUAUAUAUAUAUAUAUAUAUAUAUAUAUAUAUAUAUAUAUUUGUGUGUAUAUUGUGUAUAUACAUAUGUGUAUACACACAAAUAUAUUUGUGUAUAUAUAAAAGAUAUAUUUUGUGUAUAUUUUUUGGGGAGAGGGGGAAAAAAAGGAAGACAAAGUUAUGACCAGACACCUGGUCUUUUUUUCUUCUCUGUCUCUCUUUUUUUUUUUUUUUUUUUUUUUUUUUAGAGACAGGGCCUCUCUCCGUUGCCCAGGCUGGAGUGCAAUGGCACAAUCACAGCUCACUGCAGCCUCAGUCUCCUGGGUUCAAGCAAUCCUCCUACCUCAACCUCCCAAGUAGCUGGGACUGCAGGCUUGUGCCACAGCCUCUUUAAUUAAAAAAAAAAAGAGAGAAAGAAAAAGCAAACAAGGGCUGUUCUUUCCUAUGCUUUUGGUUUUUCUGAAGUAUAUUAGUUUGCAAUUUCAGCCUUCUUGCUCACCUUGAAUCCUCCACCCCUCUGCAUGUUGUACCUGUUCUCAGCUGUAUUAGGAGUCAGUAUAAUAGGAUUAUUUCCGGUUGCCUUGGUUUUCCUUUCAGCUGGGCACCAAAUUAAGUAUCUCAGUAAAAUAACCCAUCUCCUAGCACCCACCCAAAAAAUUGGGAGUUACUUUUCCUUGGCCCGUGAGGUCUCUGGAUACCAGCUUCUACACAUAAGCAGCAAUAGCAGUAGUAGUUCAGCUUUAUAUACAAAGUUAUCUGAGAUUCUCAGCAGGAGCUGGCAUGCACACAUAGCAAAAGUGUCCACUUUUUAAAAAUAUAUUCACUGGCCGGGCGCAGUGGCUCACGCCUAUAAUCCCAGCAAUUUGGGAGGCCGAGGUGGGCGGAUCACUUAAGGUCAGGUGUUCAAGACCAGUCUGGCCAACAUGGUGAAACCCCAUCUCUACUAAAAAUACAAAAAUUACCUGGGCAUGGUGGCGGAUGCCUGUAGUCCCAGCUACAUGGAGGCUGAGGCAGGAGAAAUGCUUGAACCCAGGAGGGGGAGGUUGCGGUGAGCCAAGAUUGUGCCACUGCACUCCAGCCUGGGUGACAGAGCAAAACUCCAUCUCAAAAAGAAAAAAAAGAAUGCACACAAACACACACAAGUUCCCCCCAAAGGAAAAAGGUACUUUGUAUUGUGAUAAAUAUAUUGACUCAUUUAAGCUCUCCCAAAUAAAUACAAGGUGAACGUUUAAGAUGCUAUGAGUAGGUGGCACAGUUGUGGAAAGAGAGGGGCUUUGGAGUCUGGGAAGCAUGGAGACAAGUCCUCCUUACCCAUCUGGGUGGCCCUAAGCAAGUAUCUUUCAGAGCCUCGAGGUCAUCUUUAAAUGUGGAUAAUGAUCCCCCUGGCACGGUGAUGAUGAAAUAACAUAUAUAAACCACCUGGCACAGAGACUGUUCAAUAAAUAGCAGAUCCUUUUUUUUUUCUCGCCUAGAGUUCAGUGGCAAGAUCACGGCUCACUGCAACCUCAGCCUCCCGGAGUUCAAGGAGUCCUCCCACCUCAGCCUUCUGAGUAGCUGGGACUACAGGCAUGCGCACCACCACGCCUGGCUAAUUUUUGUAUUUUUUGGUAGAGACAGGGUUUUGCCAUGUUGCCCAGGCUGGUCUCAAACUCCUAGGCUUAAGCAAUCUGCCCACCUCGGCCUCCCGAAGUGCUGGGAUUAUAGGUGUGAGCCACCGUGCCCAGCAUAGCAGUUAUUAUACUUUCCAUGAUGAAUGGAGUAAUCUUUCCAGCAGUAAUCUUUGGGGUGGGAAGGGGUACUUGCACACACACACACACACACCCCAUCCCAGAGAUUGUGAGGCAUGCUCCCUAGUCCCCCUGGGAGUGACUGCCUUGGAAAAAAUUGUUCCUGAAGGGCAGGAUGGAGGGUCACAAUCCCUCAUCCUUUUCCACCAUGAGGUGGAAAAAUGGUCAAGAGUCUCUGCCUUAAAAAUGGAGCUUAGGAGAUAAAACCCACCAUCUAGGGGCCAUUAUCACCAUGUUACCUACUGAAAUGAGUUGACCACAGGACCAACCUCAAAUAAGAACAAAUAACAAAAAUGAUCUGUUUGCAAGUAUUACAGACCUGUACCAGAAAAGAAGUACCUUCCAAUUUCUAGCACUCAAAAUAUGAAAGAAACAUUUAGGAAAACAUUUAGAGAAGAAACAUUUAGUACUCAAAACAUGCUCAAUGUUUGCCAAAUGGCCCCAGGAUACUUUGACAGACCACAUGCUUUGAGUUUUGUCAGUACUCCUGGAAAUCUGUGAUAGAAUCUUAAUGUGCACCAUGCAAAGUUUAAUAUCACAUUUCUGUUGAAUAAUCACUGUGAGGCCGGGUGCGGUGGCUCAUGCCUGUAAUCCCAGCACUUCAGGAGGCUGAGGUGGGUGGAUCUCUUGAGGUCAAGAGUUUGAGACCAGCCUGACCAAUAUGGUGAAAACCCGUCUCUACUAAAAAUACAAAUUUAGCCAGGUGUGGUGGCGCAUGCCUGUAAUCCCAGCUACUCGGGAGGCUGAGACAGGAGAAUCGCUUGAACCCUAGAGGCAGAGGUUGAAGUGAGCCGAGAUCGCACCUUUACACUUCAGCCUGGGCAACAAGAGUGAAAUGCUGUCUCAAAAAAAAAAUUAAUUAAAAAAAAAUUAAACAUGCUCUUUGAGGAUCCCCCAAGGUGUGGAUCUGGGAAAUGAACCAUAGAAUAGAAAGGAGCAAAAACACAGAUUAAGGGAACCUGAUACGUUGGGAUACAGGAGCCAAGACCUUUGUCAUUCAGUAUGUGAAAAUGUCAGGAUGUGCAAGUGAGAAACAACUUAAAACCUUAAAAUCAGAAGAUCACUCCCCACUGACACUGCAGAUUAAAAGAUACUAAUCACUGGCCGGGCGCGGUGGCUCACGCCUGUAAUCCCAGCACUUUAGGAGGCCGAGGCGGGUGGAUCACGAGGUCAGGAGAUCGAGACCAUCCUGGUUAACACAGGGAAACCCCGUCUCUACUAAAAAUACAAAAAAUUAGCCGGCCGUGGUGGUGGGCGCCUGUAGUCCCAGCUACUCGGGAGGCUGAGGCAAGAGAAUGGAGUGAACCCGGGAGGCAGAGCUUGCAGUGAGCGGAGAUCGCGCCACUGCAUUCCAGCCUGGGGACAGAGCGAGACUCCAUCUCGAAAAUAAAUAAAUAAAUAAAUAAAAAAUAAAAGAUACUAAUCACCUCAAAGGAAGCUGCUGGAGAGCUCCUUUAAUUCAACUAAUCAACAAUAUUAUGCAACGGCUUUUUUAAAAAACAUGUUCAAGGAUCAUACAUUUUACUCAGUCUUUUAUAUAAUUUGGCAGGGAAUCAAGGCAUAUUAGGAAAUUCACAGAAACCAUAAACAUAAAAAAAUGCAUAAGUCCUCAGUUCAGUAACCACACAAAUAUUUCCGAGAACACAUCCAAAGCCACUUUCCCUUCUGCAAAGCUGUUAUAAAAUGUACUUAGCGUCGGGCAUGGAGGCUCACGCCUGGCUUACAGGCGGGCACCUGUAAUCCCAGCUACUUGGGAGGCUGCAGCAGAGAAUCGCUUGAAGCUGGGAGGUGGAGGUUGCAGUGAGCCGAUAUUACACCCUGGCCCUCCAGCCUGAAUGACCAAGUGAGACUCUGUCUAAAAAAAAAUAAUAAUAAUAAAAUAAAUAAAAAAUGUACUUAGCAAGCCAGGCGUGAUGGCUCACUCCUGUAAUCCCAGCACUUUGGGAGGCCAAGGCAGGUGGAUCACAUGUGGUCAGGAGUUUGAGACCAGCCUGGACAACAUGGAGAAACCCCGUCUCUGCUAAAAAUACAAAAUUAUCUGGGUGUGGUGGCACAUGCCUGUAAUCCCAGUUACUUGGGAGGCUGAGGCAGGAGAAUCUGUUGAACGUG